rnacentral:rRNA from 1 species
UACGAGGGGGGCAAGCGUUGUUCGGAAUUAUUGGGCGUAAAGGGUGCGUAGGCGGCGGGGGUAAGUCAGGUGUGAAAUCCCGGAGCUAACUCCGGAACUGCACUUGAUACUGCCUUCUUGAGGACUGGAGAGGAGAUCGGAAUUCACGGUGUAGCGUGAAAUGCGUAGAUAUCGUGAGGAAGGCCGUGGCGAAGGCGGAUCUCUGGACAGUUCCUGACGCUGAGGCACGAAGGCCAGGGGAGCAAACGGG